ACAUCAAAAGCCUGACAGCCUGGAACUGAAUAUAAAAAAGUGCGACGCACCACCUAAUUAACAUUUUUCAAUAUCCACUGUGGUUGCCAGGACGCUAAACUAAAGCAAGUGCCAUUAGCCAAAAUAAUGAAUAAAUCGAAUUAAUUAACGACGUGCAAGAGGGUUGUCCAGCAUUUGCGGGCUGGACGAGCAGACGGCAGUGCUUAGACGGAUCCUCGCUCAAAAAUCAGCUAAGUUUAGUACAGCAACAAACCGUGAAGCCCACGAUGAGUUUUUCAACCUUUGUAUGUUGACGCUGUUGUUCAGCCCAGGCUCUCCCUUUCAGACGCUGAGAACAUCUGACUGUUCGUUCGGGGGGAAGAAGAAAGCCUUCUAAAGUAUUCAAAGAGCCUGGAAUAAAGUCCACAAAAGAUGGAAGGAUACCUGCUCCAGGUCCUUCUCCUCCUCCUGAAUGUCGAAGGCCAGCUCCUGCUGCUCUCUCCCUGCCUGCAAACCACAGAGACGCAGGCUGUUCACUCCCGUAUGCAGACAGCAAUGCUGGAAGAGUG